rnacentral:rRNA from 1 species
UACGUAGGUGGCAAGCGUUAUCCGGAAUUAUUGGGCGUAAAGCGCCGCGCAGGUGGUUUCUUAAGUCUGAUGUGAAAGCCCACGGCUCAACCGUGGAGGGUCAUUGGAAACUGGGAGACUUGAGUGCAGAAGAGGAAAGUGGAAUUCCAUGUGUAGCGGUGAAAUGCGUAGAGAUAUGGAGGAACACCAGUGGCGAAGGCGACUUCUGGUCUGUAACUGACACUGAGGCGCGAAAGCGU